rnacentral:rRNA from 1 species
AUUGAACGCUGGCGGCAGGCUUAACACAUGCAAGUCGAGCGGGGGAAGGUAGCUUGCUACCGGACCUAGCGGCGGACGGGUGAGUAAUGCUUAGGAAUCUGCCUAUUAGUGGGGGACAACAUCUCGAAAGGGAUGCUAAUACCGCAUACGUCCUACGGGAGAAAGCAGGGGAUCUUCGGACCUUGCGCUAAUAGAUGAGCCUAAGUCGGAUUAGCUAGUUGGUGGGGUAAAGGCCUACCAAGGCGACGAUCUGUAGCGGGUCUGAGAGGAUGAUCCGCCACACUGGGACUGAGACACGGCCCAGACUCCUACGGGAGGCAGCAGUGGGGAAUAUUGGACAAUGGGGGGAACCCUGAUCCAGCCAUGCCGCGUGUGCGAAGAAGGCCCUAUGGUUGUAAAGCACUUUAAGCGAGGAGGAGGCUCUUUUGGUUAAUACCCAAGAUGAGUGGACGUUACUCGCAGAAUAAGCACCAGCUAACUCUGUGCCAGCCGCCGCGGUAA